UGCCAGCCGCCGCGGUAAUACGGGGGGAGCAAGCGUUGUUCGGAUUUACUGGGCGUAAAGCGCGUGCAGGCGGCUUGUUAAGUCGUGCGUGAAAGCUCCCUGGCUCAACCGGGAGAGGUCGUGCGAUACUGGCAAGCUUGAGACAGGUAGAGGCAGGUUGAAUUCCAGGUGUAGUGGUGAAAUGCGUAGAUCUCUGGAGGAAUACCCGUGGCGAAGGCGGCCUGCUGGGCCUGAUCUGACGCUCAGACGCGAAAGCAUGGGGAGCGAACGGGAUUAGAUA
rnacentral:rRNA from 1 species